rnacentral:rRNA from 1 species
GACGAACCGUGCGAACGUUAUUCGGAAUCACUGGGCUUAAAGCGCGUGUAGGCGGAUGGGGACGUCGGUUGCUGAAAUCCCCCGGCUCAACCGGGGAACGGGCGCCGAAACGCCCCGUCUCGAGGGACGUAGGGGGACCUGGAACUUCCGGUGGAGCGGUGAAAUGCGUUGAGAUCGGAAGGAGCGCCCGUGGCGAAAGCGAGGUCCUGGACGUCUUCUGACGCUGAGACGCGAAAGCUAGGGGAGCGAACGGG